CAGUCGCCGCGGUAAUACGUAGGUGGCAAGCGUUGUCCGGAAUUAUUGGGCGUAAAGGGCUCGCAGGCGGUUUCUUAAGUCUGAUGUGAAAGCCCCCGGCUCAACCGGGGAGGGUCAUUGGAAACUGGGAGACUUGAGUGCAGAAGAGGAGAGUGGAAUUCCACGUGUAGCGGUGAAAUGCGUAGAGAUGUGGAGGAACACCAGUGGCUAAGGCGACUCUCUGGUCUGUAACUGACGCUGAGGAGCGAAAGCGUGGGGAGCGAACAGGAUUAGAUACCCGCGUAGUCCCUGUCUCUUAUAC
rnacentral:rRNA from 1 species